rnacentral:rRNA from 1 species
GAUGAACGCUGGCGGCGUGCCUAAUACAUGCAAGUCGAGCGAACAGACGAGGAGCUUGCUCCUCUGACGUUAGCGGCGGACGGGUGAGUAACACGUGGAUAACCUACCUAUAAGACUGGGAUAACUUCGGGAAACCGGAGCUAAUACCGGAUAAUAUAUUGAACCGCAUGGUUCAAUAGUGAAAGACGGUUUUGCUGUCACUUAUAGAUGGAUCCGCGCCGCAUUAGCUAGGUGGUAAGGUAACGGCUUACCAAGGCGACGAUGCGUAGCCGACCUGAGAGGGUGAUCGGCCACACUGGAACUGAGACACGGUCCAGACUCCUACGGGAGGCAGCAGUAGGGAAUCUUCCGCAAUGGGCGAAAGCCUGACGGAGCAACGCCGCGUGAGUGAUGAAGGUCUUCGGAUCGUAAAGCUCUGUUAUUAGGGAAGAACAAAUGUGUAAGUAACUAUGCACGUCUUGACGGUACCUAAUCAGAAAGCCACGGCUAACUACGUG